rnacentral:tRNA from 2 species
GGCCCGUUGGUCAAGUGGUUAAGACAGUGGCCUCUCACGCCAUUAACAUCGGUUCGAAUCCGGUACGGGUCACCA